rnacentral:rRNA from 1 species
UACGUAGGGUGCGAGCGUUGUCCGGAAUUAUUGGGCGUAAAGGGCUCGUAGGCGGUUUGUCGCGUCGGGAGUGAAAACUCAGGGCUUAACCCUGAGCCUGCUUCCGAUACGGGCAGACUAGAGUUCGGUAGGGGAGUCUGGAAUUCCUGGUGUAGCGGUGAAAUGCGCAGAUAUCAGGAGGAACACCGGUGGCGAAGGCGGGACUCUGGGCCGCAACUGACGCUGAGGAGCGAAAGCAUGGGGAGCGAACAGG